rnacentral:rRNA from 1 species
AUUGAACGCUGGCGGCAGGCCUAACACAUGCAAGUCGAGCGAGCGGCGGACGGGUGAGUACUGUAUGGGGAAUGCCAGAUAGAGGGGGAUAACUACUGGAAACGGUAGCUAAUACCGCAUACUAUCGGAUCACCCAUAUGGGCUUAGCUAGUAGGUGGGGUAAUGGCGCACCUAGGCGACGAUCCCUAGCUGGUCUGAAAGGAUGAGCAGCCACACUGGGACUGAGACACGGCCCAGCCUCCCACGGAGGCAGCAGUGGGGAAUAUUGCACAAUGGGCGCAAGCCUGAUGCAGCCAUGCCGCGUGUAUGAAGAAGGCCCUAGGGUUGGAAAGUACUUUCAGUCGGGAGGCGUUACCGACAGAAGAAGCACCGGCUAACUCCGUGCCAGCCGCCGCGGUAAUUC